rnacentral:rRNA from 1 species
UUAAUGGAGAGUUUGAUCCUGGCUCAGGACGAACGCUGGCGGCGUGCCUAAUACAUGCAAGUCGAGCGGAGUUAUUC